ACACCGGCCGCUCAAGUGGUAGCCGCUUUUAUUGGGCCUAAAGCGUCCGUAGCCGGUCUGAUAAGUCUCUGGUGAAAUCCCACAGCUUAACUGUGGGAAUUGCUGGAGAUACUAUCAUGACUCGAGGUCGGGAGAGGCUGGAGGUACUCCCAGGGUAGGGGUGAAAUCCUGUAAUCCUGGGAGGACCACCUGUGGCGAAGGCGUCCAGCUGGAACGAACCUGACGGUGAGGGACGAAAGCCAGGGGCGCGAACCGGAUUAGAUACCCGGGUAGUCCUGGCCGUAAACGAUGUGGACUUGGUGUUGAGAUGGCUUCGAGCUGCCCCAGUGCCGAAGGGAAGCUGUUAAGUCCACCGCCUGGGAAGUACGGCCGCAAGGCUGAAACUUAAAGGAAUUGGCGGGG
rnacentral:rRNA from 1 species